CAACGCCGUCGCCGGAUGGCGCGAGGAGCGGAGGUCGACCAGGAGCUGCAGCAGCAGCCCUUGGUGGAUCAGGUGAAGGAAUAUCAGGCGCGAUCCAGGCAGGCCUGGGCAGCCUCAUCCUUCCUCUCCGCCACCUCCACCGCAAGCUCCAGUUCCUCAUGGCUUGACGGUUUGCUCGUCAUAUGGGAGCUAGUGUUAUUUGCUUUACUGCUAGUCACGUUUGUUGCUUUUUAUUUCAAAUUCGUAGGACUUGCUUUCUGCUUUGCAUUUGGUGCUGCACUUCUUUAUAUAUGCAUGAGACUAGAGAGAAAGCACAAGAGAAGUAAACAAAGAAUGCUUCUUCCAUUGUCAAUGUAACAUACACCUGACUUCUGCAAAUGCUUCUGUCACAACAUGUAAAGUGUUCUCUUUAAUUCGUGAAUACAUUGUACACUUACGGCAUUGAUCAUACACUAUUUUUCUCUCUGAGUA